AGAGUUUGAUCCUGGCUCAGGAUGAACGCUAGCGACAGGCUUAACACAUGCAAGUCGAGGGGCAGCGGGGAGUAGCAAUACUUCGCCGGCGACCGGCGCACGGGUGAGUAACACGUGUGCAACCAACCCCGUACCGGGAGAUAACCCGCGGAAACGUGGACUAACACCCCAUGAUACUUCAAGGCCGCAUGGUCUUGAUUUUAAAAUUUAAUGGUACGGGACGGGCACGCGCGACAUUAGGUAGUUGGCGGGGUAACGGCCCACCAAGCCGACGAUGUCUAGGGGUUCUGAGAGGAAGGUCCCCCACACUGGAACUGAGACACGGUCCAGACUCCUACGGGAGGCAGCAGUGAGGAAUAUUGGUCAAUGGGCGAGAGCCUGAACCAGCCAAGUCGCGUGAGGGAAGAAUGGUCUAUGGCCUGUAAACCUCUUUUGUCAGGGAAGAAUAAGCGGCACGUGUGCCGUGAUGCCAGUACUUGACGAAUAAGCAUCGGCUAACUCCGUGCCAGCAGCCGCGGUAACACGGGGGAUGCGAGCGUUAUCCGGAUUUAUUGGGUUUAAAGGGCGCGUAGGCGGGAUGCCAAGUCAGCGGUAAAAGACUGCAGCUAAACUGUAGCACGCCGUUGAAACUGGUAACCUCGAGACGAGUCGAGGAUGGCGGAACAAGUGAAGUAGCGGUGAAAUGCUUAGAUAUCACUUGGAACCCCGAUAGCGAAGGCAGCUGUCCAGACUCGAUCUGACGCUGAUGCGCGAGAGCGUGGGUAGCGAACAGGAUUAGAUACCCUGGUAGUCCACGCCGUAAACGAUGCUCACUGGAUCUUGGCGAUACACGGCCAGGGUUCAAGCGAAAGUAUUAAGUGAGCCACCUGGGGAGUACGUCGGCAACGAUGAAACUCAAAGGAAUUGACGGGGGCCCGCACAAGCGGAGGAACAUGUGGUUUAAUUCGAUGAUACGCGAGGA
rnacentral:rRNA from 1 species